GAAAGAACAUGGAUAAUAAAUAUCUCUUUUAUGGGAUAAAGAUGCACAGAUACGAUUAUUUCGAAAACACGGUGAUCACGGCAAAGACCCCGUAAAAUAGAGCAAUUGGAUAAGCAACCAAGAAUCGCAUAUUGUUGACUUGUAAGAUACCAACAAACAUAGCGCUAGCAGCGUAAGUACACCAAAUACAUGCCAAAGCCGCUAAUGCGUAUCCUGCAAUACCACUAAAAAGAUACAGUUAGUAUUAAAAAUUCCUAAAGCAUGAAAUUGUGUAACGAUUAUCUAAAAUCAUUUUACCAUAUAUCAGAGAUCGAUCGACUGACGUACUUGAAUGUGAAUAUAUUUUUAAAAAAGGCAAUCACCACAAGAGGGAGUAAACUGUAUCCUAGAACGCUGACGGUUCGAGUGAAAAAUAAAUUUUUAGCGGACAUUAAACGUAAAACAAAAUGAAGGCUAAGAGAGCCCAAAAGGGCAAUACCAUAAAUGUAACCGAAGUGAGAACGACCGUGCAAUGAUAAAAAUGUGCUGAAUAAUAAACAAAAUAGAAUAG